rnacentral:rRNA from 1 species
GACGAACGCUGGCGGCAUGCCUAAUACAUGCAAGUAGAACGCUGAAGCGAGGAGCUUGCUCUUCUUGGAUGAGUUGCGAACGGGUGAGUAACGCGUAGGUAACCUGCCUUGUAGCGGGGGAUAACUAUUGGAAACGAUAGCUAAUACCGCAUAACAAUGGAUGACACAUGUCAUUUAUUUGAAAGGGGCAAUUGCUCCACUACAAGAUGGACCUGCGUUGUAUUAGCUAGUAGGUGAGGUAAUGGCUCACCUAGGCGACGAUACAUAGCCGACCUGAGAGGGUGAUCGGCCAAACUGGGACUGAGACACGGCCCAGACUCCUACGGGAGGCAGCAGUAGGGAAUCUUCGGCAAUGGGGGCAACCCUGACCGAGCAACGCCGCGUGAGUGAAGAAGGGUUUCGGAUCGUAAAGCUCUGUUGUAAGUCAAGAACGGGUGUGAGAGUGGAAAGUUCACACUGUGACGGUAGCUUACCAGAAAGGGACGGCUAACUACGUG